rnacentral:rRNA from 1 species
UACGUAGGGUGCAAGCGUUAAUCGGAAUUACUGGGCGUAAAGCGUGCGCAGGCGGUUGUGCAAGACAGGUGUGAAAUCCCCGGGCUUAACCUGGGAACUGCACUUGUGACUGCACGGCUGGAGUACGGCAGAGGGGGAUGGAAUUCCGCGUGUAGCAGUGAAAUGCGUAGAUAUGCGGAGGAACACCGAUGGCGAAGGCAGCCCCCUGGGCCAAUACUGACGCUCAGGCACGAAAGCGUGGGGAGCAAACAGG